AAUGAAAUGAUUUAAUAAUUAUGAACUCUAAAAUGUGCUGCAAAUUAUAGAUGGAUGCAGAGGAAGAGAAGUGAUUUGAUGUUACUGUUCUUCCAUAGGCAGUGGUUGAAUUGCUCAAGGCAAACUUAUUUAAGGCCUGAGUCCUUCACAGUUAAUGACUGUUGCAAACAAACAUAAUCCUCACUCCUUUAAUAUCAUGACACCAAAUUUCAUUAAAUUGCUGCACUAAUCAGACACCAAACUGGCUAGGAUGCUGAAUUACAAAGCACCUCUGGUUUUACAACUUCUUGAUCAAGUUUUUGCUUCAUGUCCCAAAAACUAUUUUCACAUCAACCCAUGAAAGGGAUUUUACAAUAAUUAUUACAGAGUUGCAACUUAGGUGCAGUAAACAUUGCAAUUAAUUUUGCAUCAAAAGCAAUGACCUGCACAAAUUGUUUUCCAUCCACAUAGUAUCAUGGACCAUUACACCUUUGGAGCAUGCUAUUAAAUUACAGGGACAAUUUGAACUUAAAUGUUACAGUAACUCCUUUGCUAACCUUAACCACAUCCUGGGUUUUUUAAUUUAAACCUGAAGCUUGGAAAAUUAUCUAAAGUUUUGCAGGAUAUCAGUUAUUGCAAACAUGUUAUGUUACCCAAGUGUGUAAUGAGUGUCUGUAUGUGGUUACAGGUAAAGUGGCCCACAAGUUCUGUCACCCCCGAGGAAGUUGCAUCACCCUAAAGUUCAUUUUAUAGUGUCUUGAAAUUGGGGAGAAUCAUGAUGGAUUCAUCACCAGCACUCUUUAAAAUUUGUAAAAUGUAAUAGCUCAAUGAAAUUACCAUAAUUCUGUCCUUUAAGGUGUAAUUUUCAUUACUUGGUGUGAUCAAACUAGUUCAUUCUUUCCACAUGGAUUCAAUUCAUUGUCAGCUAUUUCAGCAAGGAUGUUGAUUUAUAACUUUAACAGACUUGUCUGUAGCUGCAGUUUUAAAGGAGGUUAAGCGUAUUUAUAGAGAUAUAUAUCGAGGCACUAGUAUAGGUAAUUAACAUAGUAACAUACAAUGUACCUAUUAUCUAUUUAAGAAAGUGGCUUUAUCUACGUGUCCAUUACAGUAUAAGUAAGAACCAAUCAAAAUGUGUGUAUGAUUCAGCUUAUCAUUUAGCAUGCUGUUGUUAGCAUUCAACGUAGAGAAACACAAGUGUUGCUUGAAUUUUUUUAAAAUGAACUCCACAGUAUUGAAAAUUGCUUUGCUUGCUUCACACUAUGCGUAAAGGUCGAAAAUAGACAUAUUUACCGUGUGUAUAUAAGGAAGCUUAUCUACCCUACUUGUAAAAACACACUGACAAAGUCUGCUCCUGUCAGAUGAAUAGCGUAGCAGAUUAAAACAAGUUUUUAUUAUAAUUCAUUUCAUGCAGUGCUGCCCAAUAGUUUGUCGUAUAAAAAAAUUCCAUCUGGCAGAGGCUGGGACAUUUGCCUUUUCACAGAGAGUAACUAAGAGCAAAUACAGUGAACACAAGGUAACCAAGAGCAAAUGAAGGGAACACAGGCUAGUUCCUUGAACUUAAAUUCUUGACAAUAUUCAACUGUCUGAAAUUAUGGCGGUUACUUGAUGAUGUAACAAGGAAAAGUGGAGCUGACAAAUUGAACUAAUUGCUUUUUGUUGAUGUAAGGGCAAUAUCUGAAUAAAUGAUGUCGUUUUUUCUGUACAUUUAUUUGAACUGGCAAUAUACAAUAAAAUUUCAUCCAUUUAAAAUACAA